UUACACAUUCAAAACCCACACUCUUGUAACCAUCUUAUAAAAUAUAUUAUAUCUUGCAUAUAAUAAUAAUUAAAAACAACUUUCAACAACGGAUCUCUUGGCUCUCGCAUCGAUGAAGAACGCAGCGAAUUGCGAUAAGUAAUGUGAAUUGCAGAAUUACGUGAAUCAUCGAAUCUUUGAACGCAUAUUGCACUCUCUGGUAAUCCGGGGAGUAUGCCUGUUUGAGGGUCAGUAAAUAAUAAAUUAUCACAAUCGUUGGUUGUGGAAUUGGGCUCUUAUUUCGAAUAGAUUUAUGGCCUUAAAUUUACGUCAUGUGCUUAAUUCGAACCAAACGGAGCAAUUAAACAUUCUCUCGUUAGACGGAUUACUCACAAGCCAUUACGAUUUUUUGGACGACAAAAAGCACUUUCACGAGCGCGAAGCCCAAGAUCGUAAAUUCAUCCUGACAAAUGACCUCAAAUCAGGCAAGAAUACCCGCUGAACUUAAGCAUAUCAAUAAGCGGGGGAAAAGAAACUAACAAGGAUUCCCCUAGUAACGGCGAGUGAAGAGGGAAGAGCUCAAAUUUUAAAUCCGCCUUGUUCGCAAGGCCGAGUUGUAAUUUGAAGAAGCGUUUUCUUGGGCUCGCUGCCGGUAGAAGUUCUUUGGAACAGGACAUCAUAGAGGGUGACAAUCCCGUCUGUGACCGGU
rnacentral:rRNA from 1 species